rfam:Triticum aestivum genome assembly, contig: Triticum_aestivum_CS42_TGACv1_scaffold_030568_1BL
GAAAUACUCCCUCCGUUCCAAAAUAGAUGGCUCAACUUUGUACUAACUUUAAUACUAACUUUAGUAUAAAGUUAGUACAAAGUUGAGUCAUCUAUUUUGGAACGGAGGGAGUAGUAC